rnacentral:rRNA from 1 species
UACGUAGGGGUCGAGCGUUGUCCGGAUUUAUUGGGCGUAAAGCGCGUGUAGGCGGUGAUGUAUGUCGGGUGUGAAAGCCCUCAGCUUAACUGAGGAAGUGCGCCCGAAACUACAUCGCUAGAGUGCCGGAGAGGGUGGCGGAAUUCCCGGUGUAGAGGUGAAAUUCGUAGAUAUCGGGAGGAACACCAGUGGCGAAGGCGGCCACCUGGACGGACACUGACGCUGAGACGCGAAAGCGUGGGUAGCAAACAGG